rnacentral:lncRNA from 1 species
AUGUUUGAAAUUUGGAGAAAAAAUGUUUUUUUAAGCAAUAUGUAUGAAGUCACCUAUAGUGUAUGCAGUACAACCAAAAACGGAUGCCAUCCAUUUAUAUGGUUGCAGUCAUCAUCAGCGACUGAACGUUUCACGCGGCGUCUGAAAACCACCUGUUGCAUUGUCAGUUUUUACGAAUACAAGUUAAAUGACACAAUUAUGGAUGUAGUAUUUAUAGACGAACGGGAGGAUGUGCAGAAGAAGACGUUCACAAAGUGGAUUAAUUCACAACUCGUCAAGGUAGAUAAGCUCUUAAAUGUUUAAUAUCCUUCUAAAGAUGCUGCCAUGUUUUUUUUUGUGAAAUGCUCUCUCUCGAUGCCAUUGAAAAUUUCUUU